rnacentral:rRNA from 1 species
UACGAGGGGGGCGAGCGUUGUUCGGAAUUAUUGGGCGUAAAGGGUGCGUAGGCGGUUUGGUAAGUCUUAUGUGAAAUCUACAGGCUCAACUUGUAGUCUGCAUGAGAAACUGCCGGGCUUGAGUAUGGGAGAGGUGAGUGGAAUUCCUGGUGUAGCGGUGAAAUGCGUAGAGAUCGGGAGGAACACCAGAGGCGAAGGCGGCGACCUGGACAAGCACUGACACUCAACUACGAAAGCGUGGGUAGCAAACAGG